CUUUCGGCGAGUUACGUUUAAGUCCCGG
rnacentral:sRNA from 1 species